CAGGGGACACCUGCGUGGCUCAGUAGGUUAAGAAUCUGUCUUCAGUUGGGAUCACCAUGGAUCCUGGGAUCCGGGGAUCCAGUCCUCACAUUGGACUCCUUGCUCAGCGGGGAGCCUACUUCUCCCUCAGCCUGCAACUUCCGCUGCUUGUGUGCUCUGUCUGACCAAAAAAAAAAAAAAAAAGUACAAGUGCUAGUGGAUCCUCCUUACCCCCCACUUGGGUCAGGCUGAUGUGAACCCCCCUCCCCCGCUCUUACCCUUACACCUCAAUCUCUAGGGAGGAAACCACACUGCGGAGUCUGGUGAUAACAGUUGUGCGUGUGCUUAUAACAGGAAUUCAGAUCAUGCCACCCAGAAUAUGCCACUGUAACAUAUUGAGUAUUUUGAGUUAAAGACACUCCAAAAACUGGAAAUGCAAGAAAAUUGAUGUGAUGUAGGCUGAGGGGGACAGCCAAGAAAGAAUUCUCGAGAACUUUUUGGUGCAAAAAGCUACAGGUGGGAGAGUGCGAUGUCUGAAUGGUGGUCUCAGGUCUUGGAUUCCCCACGGAAGAUUUACUGAAAGAUUUACGUGCGGCCGCGCUGGGGUAAAGAGAGCCAGCAGGAAAGGAGCAAGCACGAAACAGUUUAGGAAGGACUCUCAAGACGGACCCAAGGGCGGCAACGCUCUGGGGUUAGGGGUUUGCAUAGGUUUGGCCGUAGCUAGGGCGGUGUCCCGGUGGAGUUGUUUCCAGUCAUCUAAGGGACUCCUCUUACUGGUCGAAGAGGGUCCAGUUUUUGGCCCUGAAAGGUUCUUGCCCUACCAGUCAUGGCCAUCUUCCCGCUGGGGGGGCGUGUGUGAACCGCAAUGUAAAUACGUUACAAUGAAGCUAUAGGGUACCCAGGGUUAGUCCCCAGGUGUCGGGAGCCGGGAUGUUGUGCCCUCAGGCUUCUCUGUCACCUGUUUAUCACAGUCCUUGCCUCCAGUUCAGGUGUAAGGAACUGAACUCUAUCAAAAGCAGGAGAUGGGGACCCCUGGGUGGCUCAGUUGGUGAAGCUGCCUUUGGGCUCAGGUCACGAUCCUGGGGUUGUGGGAUGGAGCCCUGCAUUAGGUUCCCUGCUCAGCGGGGAGCCUGCUUCUCCCUCUCCCUCUGCCCCUCCCCCCAGCUCACACUCUAGGUAAAAAAAACAAAAACAAAAAAACCCCCCAAAAAAACAAAAACAAAAAACCACACCAGCAGGAGAUGAAAUUCCACACGGAAGAUAUCCUCCCUAUAGCAGAAGGAAAGAAACAUUCGUAUCAUGGAGAAGUUCAGACCAAGAGAAUUCUGUAUACACUUUGUUAAAAAAACUCUGUAUGAAUAGACCUUGUUAAAACAGUUAUCUUUCUUAAGCCUCCCCACAUAAUUUACUUUCCCACAAUUGUGUCACUGUGUUCAACCUAAUAUAAAGCAUGUUGAUUUUUCCGUUUCUUUGGGUCUGAAGACUUCCAUGUCACGUGAAACUUGUAUUAAAUACAUUUGUACGCUUUGC